UUUAUAUAAGUCGAUUUUACAGAGGGAGAAGAAUUUUUAAGUUAUUGUUUUCACUGCUAUUGUUUGUUUUCUAAUAAGUUUUUGUCUAACUACCCUUUCAGUACUGAGACGCCUUUUUAACCACGAGUCUGGGUACCAUUUCACGAUUUUACUCACGUUUGGAAGGGUGAGAGGGUUACUGGCCAAAGUCUUCACUAUUUCAAUCCUGUACAUAAGUUUGUGUGUGUGUGACAUCAGCAUGUGUGGAACCUUCUAUUAUCUGUGAAAACUGUGUGUCUCUCUCUGUCUGUGUGUGUAUGUGUGUGUGUGUGUGUGUCGCUUCACCCAACAUUUAUAGCUAAGGACGUCUCUGGCAAGAACUGAGCGACCCCUGCGCGUUGGGAGACCUCGCUGUUCAAUGACCAUUCCAUUCGCCGCUCCUGCCUGACCUGACGACGCGUUGUCCCUUCCCGCCACCGCCGCUAUCAUCCCCUCGACGCCUCCCACCACCACCACCAAUAGCACCAGCAGUAGUACUUCAGCAGCUGUCCGCUCACUGGCAGCGCUGACGGCGUGCUGCUGCUGCAACGUGUGAGGCUCAGCUACUGCACCAGGAAGGAGCUGCAUGACGGCUUCCAUGGUGAGAGUGCGCCCACGUACUGCGGGAGAUGUAUAACAGCCACCCACUGCUGCAUUACCUCCUGUCCUGCCCGGCGACUGCCGCCCUCAGAUGAGCGCGGCCACCACCCGAUCGGCACCCGCCCAUGCAGCCUGAAGCCCGCGACCUUCUCACCAACCGCGAGUCCAGGCAACCAGGUUUUCCUUCCUCGUCCGCCACACGCCCACAGACGUGAUGCUGCGGGCGAUAAGGGCGGCACUCCCGCCUCACUAACACAGCUGCCCGCCACAGCUGCGGCAGCUCAGAGGAUGGAGAGCAGCUUAUCAUCUCGCCACUCCACCGGCGGCGGGCUGGUGCCUCAUUGGAGUAUUUGAGUGUACAUGUAGUCUGUCAUUGUGUAUAUAUCUAUGUACGUAUGUAUAUCUUGUAGACUAUUGCUCAAUAAACCUUUAACAAGUAACA